CGUUGUGGUGUUUGCUCUGUGCUAUGGAGGGUGGAAAAGAAAGACUUUGAGGAGCAAGUGCCGGUGGAGGUCUGUGCUACUGAGCACGAGUUUGGGCCUCUGCCUGCUGAAGGCAUUGAAUGAACCACUGCAGCUUUAGUCCUCUGCUAGGGUCUUCACCAGAAGGGACAGACAAUGCCUCUGUCACUCUGAAUAGCCUGCUGGCUGGAGCGCUCUGGGAGUAAGGAGGUUGUGGAUUUGAUGUGAGCCUUGAUGCCAGAUUUUCCACGUGCUGAGAAACUGUGAAAAGUAGUUUGCUUUAUCUGCACUACCGUGGAGUGAGUUCACAUAGCCAUCUACUUAUCAUCUACUAGAAGAACUUUUCAGGAAGAUCUUUCUCAUCACUUUCACGUGAAUAACUCUCCAUUUGUGGCUGAAAUUAUUAGUAAUUCCAUAGAUGUAGAAGAAGAUACCAUUUUUUCCUCCAAGAAGAAAAAAAUCAGCAGUGCCAG